GACGAACUGUGCAAACGUUAUUCGGAAUCACUGGGCGUAAAGGGCGUGUAGGCGGGAAGGUAAGUCGGGCGUGAAAUCCCUGGGCUCAACCCAGGAACUGCACUCGAAACUACUUUUCUUGAGUGCCGGAGAGGAAAGCGGAAUUCCUGGUGUAGAGGUGAAAUUCGUAGAUAUCAGGAGGAACACCAGUGGCGAAGGCGGCUUUCUGGACGGUAACUGACGCUGAGACGCGAAAGCGUGGGGAGCAAACAGG
rnacentral:rRNA from 1 species